GUUCACUUUGGCAGAAUAUAUAUUAAAAUUGGAAAGACAAAAAAUUACCAUGUCCCCUACACAUGGAUGACAUGCAAAUUCAUGAAGUUAAUAAAAAAGGC
rnacentral:snRNA from 1 species